rnacentral:tRNA from 1 species
AUAUUAAUAAUUUAAUUAAAAUAUUAGUUUUGUAAACUAUUUAUGGGUAAAUAUCCCUUAAUAUG